rnacentral:rRNA from 1 species
UACGUAGGGUGCGAGCGUUAAUCGGAAUUACUGGGCGUAAAGCGUGCGCAGGCGGUUUUGUAAGCCAGAUGUGAAAUCCCCGGGCUUAACCUGGGAAUGGCAUUUGGGACAGCAAGGCUGGAGUGUGGCAGAGGAGACUGGAAUUCCUGGUGUAGCAGUGAAAUGCGUAGAUAUCAGGAGGAAUACCGAUGGCGAAGGCAGGUCUCUGGGCUGACACUGACGCUCAUGCACGAAAGCGUGGGGAGCAAACAGG